GGGGAUUCCUCUGAGACACUGACCAGGUCAUGUUGGGGUCAGAUUGGGGCGUGUCUAGUGGCUACAUAUGACCAGGUCAUAGUUGGGGUCAGAAUGGGGCGUGUCUAGUAGCUACAUAUGACCAGGUCAUGUUGGGGUCAGAAUGGGGCGUGUCUAGUGGCUACAUAUGACCAGGUCAUGUUGGGGUCAGAUUGGGGCGUGUCUAGUAGCUACAUAUGACCAGGUCAUGUUGGGGUCAGAAUGGGGCGUGUCUAGUAGCUACAUAUGACCAGGUCAUGUUGGGGUCAGAAUGGGGUGUGUCUAGUAGCUA
ensembl:lncRNA